GACGAACGCUGGCGGCGUGCUUAACACAUGCAAGUCGAACGAAGAGCGAUGGAAGCUUGCUUCUAUCAAUCUUAGUGGCGAACGGGUGAGUAACGCGUAAUCAACCUGCCCUUCAGAGGGGGACAACAGUUGGAAACGACUGCUAAUACCGCAUACGAUCUAAUCUCGGCAUCGAGGAUAGAUGAAAGGUGGCCUCUACAUGUAAGCUAUCACUGAAGGAGGGGAUUGCGUCUGAUUAGCUAGUUGGAGGGGUAACGGCCCACCAAGGCGAUGAUCAGUAGCCGGUCUGAGAGGAUGAACGGCCACAUUGGGACUGAGACACGGCCCAGACUCCUACGGGAGGCAGCAGUGGGGAAUCUUCCGCAAUGGACGAAAGUCUGACGGAGCAACGCCGCGUGAGUGAUGACGGCCUUCGGGUUGUAAAGCUCUGUUAAUCGGGACGAAAGGCCUUCUUGCGAAUAAUGAGAAGGAUGAC
rnacentral:rRNA from 1 species